GCGGGCGUAGCUCAGCUGGUAGAGCCCCGGAUUGUGAUUCCGGCCGUCGCGGGUUCGAAUCCCGUCGCUCGCCCCA
rnacentral:tRNA from 2 species